GACGUGAAACCGGUGAGGUGGAAACGGAUAGAGCUAGCGUAUCUGGCUUGCAUUCAGCUGUUGGGUGGUUGCUGCCAGGGCCGAUGCCUCCAGAUUGGGGUGUUGUCUUGUCCAGUGGCUUCCCGAUGGUGCAUUUGCAGGUGGAGUGCGCCGAGACGCUCGGGGCAGCGACAUGAGCUCGGCCUUGAGGCCAGCCCGCAAGGGUCUGGUACCCGGGCCGGGGGAGUGCUGUUUGUCCUGGGUUGAUUUGAGCAUGGCUUACGAGCUCAGGUGGGUGUCGAGCUGGUAGCCGGUUACGGUCGCAUGCGACACGUGCCAGUGGCCAGUUCGGUCCUGUUUGUGCUCUCUUGCUCACUCUCGGUGUAAAAGCUGGUCAUCUAUCCGACCCGUCUUGAAACACGGACCAAGGAGUUUAUCGUGUGCGCGAGUCAUUGGGCGUUUAAAACCCAAAGGCGUAAUGAAAGUGAAGGCAUCCGUAUGGAGCUGACGUGCGAUCCUGUGUGCUACGGCUAGCAGGCGCAGCAUGGCCCCAUCCCGACUGCUUGCAGUGGGGUGGAGGUAGAGCGUACGCGGUGAGACCCGAAAGAUGGUGAACUAUUCCUGAGCAGGAUGAAGCCAGAGGAAACUCUGGUGGAAGUCCGAAGCGAUUCUGACGUGCAAAUCGAUCGUCUGACUUGGGUAUAGG
rnacentral:rRNA from 1 species